CCCUCGGGGCCUGUGUGCACAGGGAGGAUAGCUUGUUGAUCUGCAGGCUCAGGAAGGAAGGUAGCUGGCCCGUCAGUCAUCCGCCCUGCAAAGCCCUCCCGGGAGACCCCGUAGAGCGGACCGGACGCACUCUCGCCUUAGGGGCAGCGAGCGCCUGGCCUCAGGUUUCCCGCCCUCGGAGGCCCUCGGAUCUCCCCGGUAACGCUUAGGAGGUCGCCUACCCCUUGGGGAGUCGAGGCAGAGCUUCUGGGAAUGGGGUCUGAGGGAAGAGUACUCACCAGGCAGUGACAGGUAGCCGGCGUUGAGGAUCGCCACUGCCAUCUGGUUCUGUGGUAUGAAUGGCUGUGUCUCUGGAGAGUUAGUUCUAAGGUUUGAAUGAUGGUAGGCACUUGAGGAUUCCAGCACGUAGCAGGGUUUAGGAACGUCUUAGUUCUUGCCUCCAGUCUCGACUCUCCGUCCCUACCAGGAGCAGGCACUUCUACGAAAGCUCUGUUAGACCAUCGAGAAAGAGCGUAUACUGUAGAACCACAGUUAUUAGGUCUUUUUUUUUUUUUUUUUUUUUUUUUUUGGCUUGUAUUUUUAUUUCAGAAACUACCCAUGGAGCAGACUUGCUAAAAUGAAAGUUAUUAAUGAACUCUAAUGCUAUCCAAAUUGUGAAACAAUGGUACAAAUUGAGACAGAGUAGAAGCUAUAAGUUGAUAGGGUAUGGGAGUUUAGGGGUUUGGGAGUGGAUUUUCUAGAGCUGCAGCUGUCCAGUAUAGUAGUCACUGGGCACCUGAAAAGUGGCUAGUCUGAACUGAGGUCCUCUCUAAGUGUAGAAUAUGCACCAGAUUUCUAAAGCAUGGUCUGAAAAGAAAAAGGAAUGUAAAAUAUUUCAUUAAUUUUAUAUUGAUUACAUGUCAAAAUGAGAAUGUUUUGGAAAAUUUUAAAUUACGUGGUUUCCAUUCUAUUUCUAUGCAUACUGCUGUUCUGGAGAGUAAAAAUCUCGCCGAAGAAGAGUAGGCCUUUCCUUUAGCAAUUGUGAAGAAAACCAACCACGCUGCACCUCUUUCAGCAAGAUGCAAUGUGGUAAACUGCCUUUGAAAGAGACCCACAUGUCAAGAAACUGAGCAUCUCCUAUGGCCAACAACCAGCAAGUAACGGAAGCCCCAAGACGAACGGCUUGUGCAAAACUCAAUUCUGCCUACAACAAGAGCAUGAAUUGAGAUGCAGAUCCUUCCCUAGUUGAUCCUUGAAAUGCUUGCAGCUCUGUGGACAUCUUGAUUGCAGCCUUGUGAGAAAUUCUGAACCAGAGGACUUUGUAUGCCUUACCCAUAGGACUUAGAAGACAAUAAAUGUUUUUCAAAGAA